UCUUAGGUGACUGAGUGAAAGUGCUAGAUUUUUAAUCUAGAGACAGCAUGUAUAAAGAUGCUCCUAGGAA
rnacentral:tRNA from 1 species